AUUGAACGCUGGCGGCGUGCCUAAUACAUGCAAGUCGAACGAGUGGCGGACGGGUGAGUAACGCAUCGGCACGUACCGAGUAAUGGGGGAUAACUGUCCGAAAGGACCGCUAAUACCGCAUAUUAUUCGAGCGGCCGAUGUCUGAUUAGCUGGUUGGCGGGGUAAAGGCCCACCAAGGCGACGAUCAGUAGCGGGUCUGAGAGGAUGAUCCGCCACACUGGGACUGAGACACGGCCCAGACUCCUACGGGAGGCAGCAGUGGGGAAUUUUGGACAAUGGGCGCAAGCCUGAUCCAGCCAUGCCGCGUGUCUGAAGAAGGCCUUCGGGUUGUAAAGGACUUUUGUCAGGGAAGCGUUACCAACAGAAUAAGCACCGGCUAACUUCGUGCCAGCAGCCGCGGUAAUAC
rnacentral:rRNA from 1 species